rfam:Gossypium hirsutum cultivar TM-1 chromosome 22, whole genome shotgun sequence
AUCCCAUGAUGAGGACAGUUACGAAGUAAUUCUUUAAAUUUUUCCCACGCCUCCUAUAAAGACUCAUUAUCCAACUGUUGGAAAGUUGUUAUCUCAUUACGCAACUU